rnacentral:snoRNA from 1 species
AAACCAUGAUUGAGACAUUUCCCGAGCAUAUACUUUUAUCUAUCCCAUGCCUCACAUAGACUUUCACCUACACGUUGAGAAAAAUGGAAUUUGCAGUUUUUAAGUAU